GAUGAACGCUGGCGGCGUGCCUAAUACAUGCAAGUCGAGCGAACAGACGAGGAGCUUUCUCCCCUGACGUUGGCGGCUGGCGGACGGGUAACACGUGGAUAACCUACCAAUAAGACUGGGAUAACUUCGGGAAACCAGAGCUAAUACCGGAUAAUAUAUUGAACGGCAUGAUUCAAUAGAUCUAGAGAGUUUGGCUGUCACUUUUAGCUGAAGCCGUGUCGCAUUAGCUAGUUGGUAAGGUAACGGCUUACCAAGGCGACGAUGCGUAGCCGACCUGAGAGGGUGAUCGGCCACACUGGAACUGAGACACGGUCCAGACUCCUACGGGAGGCAGCAGUGGGGAAUCUUGCGCAAUGGGCGCAAGCCUGACCGAGCAAUGCCGCGUGAGUGAAGAAGGUCUUCGGAUCGUAAAGCUCUGUUGUUAGGAAAGAAAAGAUGCGGAAGAAACCCUGGAUGUUUUGACGGUACCUAAUCAGAAAGCAACGGCUAACUACGUG
rnacentral:rRNA from 1 species